rnacentral:rRNA from 1 species
GAUGAACGCUGGCGGCGUGCCUAAUACAUGCAAGUCGAGCGAACAGAUAAGGAGCUUGCUCCUUUGACGUUAGCGGCGGACGGGUGAGUAACACGUGGGUAACCUACCUAUAAGACUGGGAUAACUUCGGGAAACCGGAGCUAAUACCGGAUAACAUUUGGAACCGCAUGGUUCUAAAGUGAAAGAUGGUUUUGCUAUCACUUAUAGAUGGACCCGCGCCGUAUUAGCUAGUUGGUAAGGUAACGGCUUACCAAGGCAACGAUACGUAGCCGACCUGAGAGGGUGAUCGGCCACACUGGAACGGAGACACGGUCCAGACUCCUACGGGAGGCAGCAGUAGGGAAUCUUCCGCAAUGGGCGAAAGCCUGACGGAGCAACGCCGCGUGAGUGAUGAAGGGUUUCGGCUCGUAAAACUCUGUUAUUAGGGAAGAACAAAUGUGUAAGUAAAUGUGCACGUCUUGACGGUACCUAAUCAGAAAGCCACGGCUAACUACGUG